GGAAACCCUCAAGUGGUUAGAGCUUAGGUCUCGCAACAGGAAGGUCGCGGGAUCGAAUCCCGCUAGAUUUCU
rnacentral:tRNA from 1 species